GACGAACGCUGGCGGCGUGCUUAACACAUGCAAGUCGAACGGAAAGGCCCUGCUUGCAGGGUACUCGAGUGGCGAACGGGUGAGUAACACGUGGGUGAUCUGCCCUGCACUUCGGGAUAAGCCUGGGAAACUGGGUCUAAUACCGGAUAGGAGCCAUUUUUAGUGUGAUGGUUGGAAAGUUUUUUCGGUGUAGGAUGAGCUCGCGGCCUAUCAGCUUGUUGGUGGGGUAAUGGCCUACCAAGGCGGCGACGGGUAGCCGGCCUGAGAGGGUGGACGGCCACAUUGGGACUGAGAGACGGCCCAGACUCCUACGGGAGGCAGCAGUGGGGAAUAUUGCACAAUGGGCGCAAGCCUGAUGCAGCGACGCCGCGUGGUGGAUGACGGCCUUCGGGUUGAAAACUCCUUUCGCUAGGGACGAAGCUUUUUGUGACGGUACCUAGAGAAGAAGCACCGGCUAACUACGUG
rnacentral:rRNA from 1 species